UACAGAGGUCUCAAGCGUUGUUCGGAUUCAUUGGGCGUAAAGGGUGCGUAGGCGGCGCGGUAAGUCGGGUGUGAAAUCUCGGGGCUUAACUCCGAAACUGCAUUCGAUACUGCCGUGCUUGAGGACUGGAGAGGAGACUGGAAUUUACGGUGUAGCGGUGAAAUGCGUAGAUAUCGUAAGGAAGACCAGUGGCGAAGGCGGGUCUCUGGACAGUUCCUGGCGCUGAGGCACGAAAGCUAGGGUAGCAAACGGG
rnacentral:rRNA from 1 species